UGCUGUUAGUGAUGAUUUUUGAAAAUAACAGAUGGGAAUCUCUCUGAAAAACAAUGAAGAUUAAUUUUUAAAAACUGAAACAGUA
ensembl:snoRNA SNORD79 Small nucleolar RNA SNORD79